CAAAAUUUAAAAUUUUUGAAAAUUAUUCCUUCUGAAAAUAUCAUCGCGUUCUUGACCUCGAAGCUGACUGCUGAAUGCGAUUAGGAAAGAAGAUUCCUGAAGAUACACCAGACUGAUUCUGGCAAGCCGUCUGUUGUCUAGAUAUGCAGUUGUUCGUCAUGCAUGGUCAGCAAUCUUCCUCGUUCAUCCUUUCGUUUUCCUGACCACGAUGAUGACAAGCAGCUCUCAUGCUCAGGAUUCUGAAAGCUGGAGCAGCUCUGCUUACCUCGACCACUGAACUUACAACUAACUUCCAACCAAGUACAAGGCAAUAUUAUGAUGAAUCAAGCACGCUUGCCAUCAUGUCAUCAUUGCAAAGUACAUCGACAACAUAGAUUUGGUGCCGACUAUGUAUGAUGUAGAGUGUGCUCUAUGUAUCUAUACUACUGAUUGGCCUACAUUGUACUUAUGUGGGCUGAGAGUAAUCGAUUGUGCUAUAUGGCAGUUUACUUGUAUGUCAUAGAUGUUAACAUUGCACACAGCUUCUGAAAUGCUUUCUGUUGCACUGGCCUACUGCGGCCCACUGCAAAUAGAUUGUAGUGGCAUGGGCCAUGCCAUAAUUAUAGUAGUAUACCGGUACUACACCAACAAUUUCACUGGUGCACUGUACUUACUGGUACGAGUAGAUCUACAUCAUGCACAGCCUUGUCACUGCUUUUCUCAUUUUUUAUUAAUUUACUGUACUGUACACAUUUUGGCACAGCUCUUCCACAAAGAGUUACUAGUAUUUUCUUCUGCAUACCUACUGUAUACAGUGACCUGACUGGUAACAUCUAUGGCUGUGAAAUCACAAAUUUCUGGGUUGACAGCCUCGAACCUAUACGAUUUGUUUCUAAGAACGUGCUAUAAGAAAUUUUCUAUUGAAGUAUUCUACUGUAGCUCGCAGGACAUGGAGUGCAAUUACGUAAAGUUUGGAACACCA